rnacentral:misc_RNA from 1 species
ACCUGCGGAGGGAUCAUUACAGAGUUGCAAAACUCCCAAACCAUUGUGAACGUUACCUUUACCGUUGCUUCGGCGGGCGGCCCGGGUCCUGCCCGGCGCCCCUCGGCCCUCGCGGGCGCCCGCCGGAGGUAAACCAAACUAUUGCAUUGUAUGGCCUCUCUGAGUCUUCUGUACUGAAUAAGUCAAAACUUUCAACAACGGAUCUCUUGGUUCUGGCAUCGAUGAAGAACGCAGCGAAAUGCGAUAAGUAAUGUGAAUUGCAGAAUUCAGUGAAUCAUCGAAUCUUUGAACGCACAUUGCGCCCGCCAGUAUUCUGGCGGGCAUGCCUGUUCGAGCGUCAUUUCAACCAUCAAGCCCCCGGCUUGUGUUGGGGACCUGCGGCUGCCGCAGGCCCUGAAAACCAGUGGCGGGCUCGCUAGUCACUCCGAGCGUAGUAGUUUACAUCUCGCUCAGGCGUGCUGCGGGUUCCGGCCGUUAAAAGCCUUAUUUACCCAAGGUGA